rnacentral:rRNA from 1 species
UACCAGCACCCCGAGUGGUCGGGACGAUUAUUGGGCCUAAAGCAUCCGUAGCCGGUUUACAGUCCCGAUUCCAAUCAACGUGCUUAACAGAUGGGCCGCGGAGGAUACUAUAAGACUAGGAGGCAGGAGAGGCAAGCGGUACUCAGUGGGUAGGGGUAAAAUCCGUUGAUCCAUUGAAGACCACCAGUGGCGAAGGCGGCUUGCCAGAAUGCGCUCGACGGUGAGGGAGUGAAAGCUGGGGGGAGCAAACCGG